UCCAUUGACAAUUGAGGUUGUAGAGUCGUGUGAGACGCAUCUUCGUGAGAAAUCUCUGGGUGGAGCUCCGUGUUGGUCCGUCUGCAAUUCAUCUCCUUGAACCGUUACGGGAAUAAGUAAUACAACGCCAUUUAUGAUCCAAGGCUGUUUAGAGUCCCUAUUAACUCUCUCCACCUCUACACCUUCCCAACAUAGGAUUGCAAAACCUUAACUUUUAACAAGCAACUUCUCAGGUCAGUGUUUUCAAUGGGCUAAGUGAUCAUCGCAACCUACCGGCUCUCUAUGCUUACUAAAUUUUUACGUCUCCAUGGCAAACCGAUGAAAAUCAACCAAUCUAGGAGAGACGAAACACAAGAGCUCAUUGUUGUUGCUUUGGGAUCUCUGGCAAACAUCGCACUGAUUGUUCAGCUUGAACCUGAGUUUUAAAAAAAUGUCGGACGGAUUGUUCUUCUUGGUGGACCAUUCACAGUAAACGGAAAGAGCUCUUACAAGGAAACUUCUUUUCCCCGGGUGAACAUGUGGUCCAGCAAUUAGAUUUGAUGACUGAUAUGUUGGAAACUCAAAUCUGCGGAAGCCAUUGGAAGGUCUACGUCCCUUUCCAGAUUCCACAGCUGCAUUGUUACUAUUUUGGCUGAAAUGUGUGCACUGAAUGCGACAUGUUAGGAACAGGAAAGCUCGAAGAAGAAGAAGCCUAUUCAUUUCUCACAUAAGAAGCCUAUCCAUAUGUUGUCUUUAAAACCCAAGGACCUACCUACAGCUGAAAAGGUGCGUCACACAUUUCCUUUAUUACAUUCGUUGUGAUGCAAGUGGGUUGUAUUCAAAGGCUAUAUUUACGUGAAAAAUUCAGAAAGUCUGUAAACUUUAUACAUGAUGCUUAAUAAGAUUACUAACGGUAUGGAGUGUAAGAUAAGAGUACGCUGUCUUUUUCUGCUUAAGCCUAUGUAGCUUAAGCUUGAAGCUUUGUUUUCAUAACCGAUUGUCGUUGUACAUAUCAUGUAUG